UACAUGUGGGGCAAGCGUUGUUCGGAAUUACUGGGCAUAAAGGGUGCGUAGGCGGUUUGUUAAGUCACUGGUGAAAGUUUGCGGCCCAACCGUAAAAUUGCCUGUGAUACUGGCGAACUUGAGUGCGUGAGGGGUAGGGGGAACGAGCAGUGUAGCGGUGAAAUGCGUAGAGAUCAGGAGGAACACCCGUGGCGAAGGCGGCCGGCUGGGCCUGUCCUGACGCUGAGGCGCGAAAGCGUGGGGAGCGAACCGG
rnacentral:rRNA from 1 species